GUCCACGCCCUAAACGAUGUCUACUAGUUGUCGGGGAUUCGUUUCCUUGGUAACGCAGCUAACGCGUGAAGUAGACCGCCUGGGGAGUACGGCCGCAAGGUUAAAACUCAAAGGAAUUGACGGGGACCCGCACAAGCGGUGGAUGAUGUGGAUUAAUUCGAUGCAACGCGAAAAACCUUACCUACGCUUGACAUGCCAGAAACCCCGCAGAGAUGUGGGGGUGCCCGAAAGGGAAUCUGGACACAGGUGCUGCAUGGCUGUCGU
rnacentral:rRNA from 1 species